AGUGAACGCUGGCGGUAGGCCUAACACAUGCAAGUCGAACGGCAGCACAGUAAGAGCUUGCUCUUACGGGUGGCGAGUGGCGGACGGGUGAGGAAUACAUCGGAAUCUACUUUUUCGUGGGGGAUAACGUAGGGAAACUUACGCUAAUACCGCAUACGACCUACGGGUGAAAGCAGGGGAUCUUCGGACCUUGCGCGAUUGAAUGAGCCGAUGUCGGAUUAGCUAGUUGGCGGGGUAAAGGCCCACCAAGGCGACGAUACGUAGCUGGUCUGAGAGGAUGAUCAGCCACACUGGAACUGAGACACGGUCCAGACUCCUACGGGAGGCAGCAGUGGGGAAUAUUGGGCAAUGGGCGCAAGCCUGAUCCAGCCAUGCCGCGUGGGUGAAGAAGGCCCUCGGGUUGUAAAGCCCUUUUGUUGGGAAAGAAAAGCAGCAGGUUAAUACCCCGCUGUUCUGACGGUACCCAAAGAAUAAGCACCGGCUAACUUCGUG
rnacentral:rRNA from 1 species